CUCAAGUUAUUUGUGUGAUUUUCCAUGUAUGUUCUCUAGCACUCAGUCAAAAAUAAUGAGGUGACAAGACAACAUAAUAUGAAAAUUAAGCCGUUAAUAACUAAUAGAAGUGAACACAGAAGGCUCCAGAUAACCGAGUUCUCAAGCAGAAAUUUAAAACAACCUUGUUCCUUAUGUUUAAAGUGACAGAAGACACCACUGAACAUGUCUGCAAAAGACAGGACACUGUAUGAAAGAGAAUCACAUGAAAAUUCAUAAACUGAAAAAAAUAAAAUUAAUAAAUCAGUAGUUGAUUUGAGCCACAAAAGAUAGAAAUCGCAAAUGGAAGACCAACCAGUCAAAAGUAUCUAAAAUGAUCUACCAAGAGACAACAUGGUGGAAAGUACAGAAGAUGGGGUAAGAGACCUCUGGGACAGUACAAAGGUCUAAUGUCUGUAUUUACAGUCUAAGAAGGAAUAGAAUGAGCAUUUUGGUUUUUGGUAAGAUACUAGGAAGUCAGCACUAAACCUGAGGCUUGAAAUCUCACCAAGAAGGCGGGAACAAGAGAAGAUUAACGUGAACACCACCUCGCUUGGACAGAAGGUUCUCUCCUUCACUCAGCUAAGUGGUGAUUGCAUCCGUCUCUCUCUUCCUCCCUCCCUGCCUCUCCUGCUCCUCCCCCUCCCUCUGCAGCCGCCAUCUUGUGCUCCCGGCCUGUGUCUACUGACCACCCCGUGGGGUGUUCUUGCCCCCAUCUGCAGACUGGAGCCAUCAGACGGUCAGCACGCACUGGUCUGUAGUCAACUGUAAAACAAGCAGAACAACCCAUAAGAAUAGGUGCAGUGCAGUCAGGGCUGGCCCGUUGGAUCUCUCUAGAACAUCACACCCAGCACCUGUGAUACUUUGAGCAGAGACUUGGUCUGAAUUUACUCUGUAGCAAUGGAAGAGCCUCCCCACUCAUGAAAGAGAGGCAUUCUGGAUUUCAGGGGUUUCUCCCGGAGCUCCGGCUUAUACCUGGGCCUUCUCCAAAGGCCCCUCGCCCCUCUUCCUCGGAGCCUCGCCCCUCCCUGGUCCCAGGUGGGAGCCCAUCUACCUGCCGACCAUCCCGCCCCCCAGGGCAGAUCCUUGGGAAGAAAGGCAAGAAUCCGUACGAUGAUAAACACGGGAAGGGCAAGAACCGUCCUGCAGGACCGCCACGUGUCUGCCCGGACGGCCCAGCCACAGGCCGCCUAUCGCGUUUUAAACACUUUGUGCUGGUAAUUACGGGUUGUGGACUUACUGAAAAUCCGAAAAACUCGAAGGAAAGUCUCCCCCGUGCUGUUGCCAUUGAUUGUUGACUUCUUUAUGCUAUGGCGGAGUCUGAAGACCUGUCCGUCAAGGCGAGAGGAUUAGCCUCACCCAUGUGAAGGGAAAAUUGGGAAGGAAAAAAAAACACCUUGUCUGAACUUGAAAAUAAAAAAUGCUGAUGUGGUUUUUA